rnacentral:rRNA from 1 species
GACGAACGCUGGCGGCGUGCCUAAUACAUGCAAGUCGAACGCAUUUUCUUUCACCGUAGCUUGCUACACCGAAAGAAAAUGAGUGGCGAACGGGUGAGUAACACGUGGGUAACCUGCCCAUCAGCGAGGGAUAACACUUGGAAACAGGUGCUAAUACCGCAUAAUUCCAUUUACCGCAUGGUAGAUGGGUGAAAGGCGCUUUUGCGUCACUGAUGGAUGGUCCCGCGGUGCAUUAGCUAGUUGGUGGGGUAACGGCCUACCAAGGCUGCGAUGCAUAGCCGACCUGAGAGGGUGAUCGGCCACACUGGGACUGAGACACGGCCCAGACGCCUACGGGAGGCAGCAGUAGGGAAUCUUCGGAAAUGGACGCAAGUCUGACCGAGCAACGCCGCGUGAGUGAAGAAGGUUUUCGGAUCGUAAAACUCUGUUGUUAGAGAAGAACAAGGAUGAGAGUGGAAAGUUCAUCCCUUGACGGUAUCUAACCAGAAAGCCACGGCUAACUACGUG